rnacentral:lncRNA from 1 species
GUUCACCAAAAGAUUUGAUUAUGUUUGAUUACUUUGCAAAUUAAAUCUCAUUUAAUUUGAUUUGAUAAUACUAAAUCUUCUUAGCAAAUCUUACUUAAUAACAUAUUUUUAAAAGAUACAACAAAUCUCCUUGGAAUCUAACAAAAUCUCGCUCAUAUUUACUCACAAACUCUGGCUACAGACUGAGGUCAGAUGAUGCACACAUGCUGGAACAUCUUAUCCCGCAUGAUGUCUUUUCAUAAAUUACAUCUUGUAUUGCCCAUGUUGUUUUACCUAGAGCUUGUCAAUCAAAGGAACAAUAGGAAGUAUACAUAACAAGGGAUGAUAAUGAACUCCUCAUAUGAAUAUGAAAAUGAGAAAGAAGUCAACAUAUGUCUCAUGAAGAAUCAUAAAGAAAAUGAUGUAAAUGAUUUAACUUAUAAAUUUAAUUAUUUUGAACUCUCCCUCCCUUUACUCUUUCAUCUUAUAAUAGUUUUGAUGAAUCUACCGUGUGUGCAAAAUUCAAUGUUGUAAAAAAAUAAAAUUGAAGAUUUGCAUAAUACAAUUGAUAAAUGUAUCAAAGGAAGAUACAACUUUAACCUCAUUCUAGGUAAUCAAUGAGGAACAUAUCAUAAAGUUGGCUUUGGAUACUAGCCUAAAAAUAAUGGUAAUAAUAAAUUCUCCCUUGCUAAUAGGACUCAUAACUACAUUAUUCGAAAAUGUAUUUACUAUGAUAAAAAUUGUCAUAUUCUUGUAUCUUUCUUUAUAAAAAAUAACCAUCAAUUUUACAUUAAACAUAAUUUUUCUUCAUUUUGCUUCUUUAAGAAAACUUAUGAACAUGGUUCAACACAGACUCCUAAAAUAUUUAUGCAUUUUAUUAAUUCUAGAGGACCCAAAAUAAUUCACGUACAUAAAUUUAAAAAACUUAAGUUUAUAAUACAUAUAUGCUUUACAAUCUCAACCGUUAUCUUGAUAGUAAUUGUUCAAAGCAUGUGAUUGGAGAUAGAGUUAUUUUUUCUCCCUUUACUCCAAAAAGGAAGGAUUUGUUUCGUAUAGUAAUAAUAACAAACGAAGGGUCGUAGGUUCUUGCGCGAUUGAUAAGUAUUUCAAUCAAAUGAUUGAUGAUGCUCUACUAGUUGAAGGUAUAAAACGUAACAUGCUUAGUAUUACUCAGUUAUAUGACAAAGGUCACAAAGUGACUUUUGAUUCAUCUGUAUGAAGGAUCGUAUAAAUUAAAAACAAUCAAACUCUUAUUACUAGUAUAACAAGUUGAGAUACCUAUACUGUUAAUUUUAAUAAAUUACCUUCAAACGAUGUUUGUCUGCUAAGUAAAGAGGACGAAUUAGGAGUUUGCCAUAGGAGAAUAACCCAUAUCCUCAUGGACAAUUAAAAAAAUUGGUCUACAAGGAGUUAUGAUUGGUCAGCCAAACAUCCAUUUUAAAAAGAAUAGGUUAUAUGAUGC